GAUGAACGCUGGCGGCGUGCUUAACACAUGCAAGUCGAACGGAAAGGCCCAAGCUUGCUUGGGUACUCGAGUGGCGAACGGGUGAGUAACACGUGGGUGAUCUGCCCUGCACUUCGGGAUAAGCCUGGGGAACUGGGUCUAAUACCGGAUAGGACGAUGGUUUGGAUGCCAUUGUGGAAAGUUUUUUCGGUGUGGGAUGAGCUCGCGGCCUAUCAGCUUGUUGGUGGGGUAAUGGCCUACCAAGGCGUCGACGGGUAGCCGGCCUGAGAGGGUGUACGGCCACAUUGGGACUGAGAUACGGCCCAGACUCCUACGGGAGGCAGCAAUGGGGAAUAUUGCACAAUGGGCGCAAGCCUGAUGCAGCGACGCCGCGUGGGGGAUGACGGCCUUCGGGUUGUAAACUCCUUUCGCUAGGGACGAAGCGUUUUUGUGACGGUACCUGGAGAAGAAGCACCGGCUAACUACGUG
rnacentral:rRNA from 1 species